CUGAUGGGCAACGAAGGCCCUCGUCUAUGAAUAUUUUUACAAACGCUCAAAGUAUGACAGAAUGUAUAUCAUAUUGCGUCUGAUAAACGUGACAAAUACAACUUUCAACAACGGAUCUCUUGGCUCUCGCAUCGAUGAAGAACGCAGCGAAAUGCGAUAAGUAAUGUGAAUUGCAGAAUUCAGUGAAUCAUCGAAUCUUUGAACGCACCUUGCGCUCCUUGGUAUUCCGAGGAGCAUGCCUGUUUGAGUGUCAUGAAAUUCUCAACUGCCCCAGGCUUUGUGGCCUGCGGGUGAAGUUGGACUUGGAGGUAUGCUGGCGCAUGAAUGGGCUUUUGUGCCCCGUCUCGCUUGUUGGCUCCUCUCGAAUGCAUGAGCUUUCCAAUCCUUGGCAAAGUAUCGUCGAUGUGAUAAUUGUCUACGUCGCCUGAGAAAGCCGAAAAGGGGAAAUCUUUGAUCACGCUGGGGUGACCUGCGUCUGACAAAUUCGACCUCAAAUCAGGUAGGACUACCCGCUGAACUUAAGCAUAUCAAUAAGCGGAGGAAAAGAAACUAACAAGGAUUCCCCUAGUAACUGCGAGUGAAGCGGGAAAAGCUCAAAUUUAAAAUCUGGCGGCCUCCGGUCG
rnacentral:rRNA from 1 species